UACGAAGGGUGCAAGCGUUACUCGGAAUUACUGGCCGUAAAGCGUGCGUAGGUGGUUUGUUAAGUCUGAUGUGAAAGCCCUGGGCUCAACCUGGGAAUUGCAUUGGAUACUGGCAGGCUAGAGUGCGGUAGAGGGUAGUGGAAUUCCCGGUGUAGAGGUGAAAUUCGUAGAUAUCGGGAGGAACACCAGUGGCGAAGGCGGCCACCUGGAUGGAUACUGACGCUGAGACGCGAAAGCGUGGGGAGCAAACAGG
rnacentral:rRNA from 1 species